rnacentral:rRNA from 1 species
UACGUAGGUGGCGAGCGUUGUCCGGAUUUACUGGGCGUAAAGAGCGCGCAGGCGGUCGCUCAAGUCGCGUGUGAAAGCCCCCGGCUCAACUGGGGAGGGUCACGCGAUACUGAUCGACUGGAAGGCAGGAGAGGGUAGUGGAAUUCCCGGUGUAGUGGUGAAAUGCGUAGAUAUCUGGAGGAACACCGGUGGCGAAGGCGGCAUCCUGGACCGAGAUUGACGCUGAGGCGCGAAAGCCAGGGGAGCAAACGGG